rnacentral:rRNA from 1 species
UACGAAGGGUGCAAGCGUUAAUCGGAAUUACUGGGCGUAAAGGGUGCGUAGGCGGUUGUUUAAGUCUGUCGUGAAAUCCCCGGGCUCAACCUGGGAAUGGCGAUGGAUACUGGACAGCUAGAGUGUGUCAGAGGAUGGUGGAAUUUCCGGUGUAGCGGUGAAAUGCGUAGAGAUCGGAAGGAACAUCAGUGGCGAAGGCGGCCAUCUGGGACAACACUGACGCUGAAGCACGAAAGCGUGGGGAGCAAACAGG